AAAUCUGAACCGCGUCUGCUCUCUCUCUGCUUCGUCUCCCUCCCGGCGCCCUGCGUCUCCUACGGCGCGCACCCCUCCCCUGCACGCUCCAUCUCUCACGCGCUGCCGCCCUAGUUCCUGAUCCCUGGCCACCGUGGAGCUUCCCCAUCGCCCCUGGCUCGGAUCCAGCGCCCGAGCGACCUACCUUCGGCUUCUGCGCGCCGGAUUUGGAGCUCCAGCCAUGGCGCUUCGCUUCCCCCAGCAGCACUCUCCUCCUCUACUCCAACCAUAGCCGCGCCCCUCAGCUCACCCUCCAGCGUCGUGACUUCCAGCGCUCGGCCUCCAGCUCCUACGCGCGCAGGAGCCUUAUCCUCCAUGCGCCGUCGCCCUCCUCUGGUGUUCGCUCGCCCCGGCCUCUGUUCCUCCAACUCGGCGCCCAGCUCCCUCUCUCUUGGCCAUGGCUGCCGUGUCGAGGUCCCUUCCCCGCGAGCUCCCCUGCUCCCUCGCGGCGACCUUCCCUCUGCCAUCUCCUGGUGCCGCGCCCCUACUCUGCUCUCUGUUCGGCCAUGGCCGCCGUGCCAAGGCCUCCUUCCCCGCGCGCAGCUUUUCCUCUACUCCUCCCGGCUCCUAGCGCUCUCGUCCUGUCUCCCUGCUCGCCAGACGUGUGUGAUCAAAGACGUCAACCGGAAACCGUCGUCGUGCUUCCGACUAUCUCGUCGAAUUAGUCAGGGUAAGCAAAUUUGUUAUUCGUGCUAGUGGAUUGAUGAAUGGUCUGACUAGGUAUAUUAAUCGUGAUAAUUAUGUGGUGUGUCGGAUUGCUAAUUCGGUUAUUAGUUUGAUGAAGGGAACGGUAGGUAUACUAUUUAUUAGGAUGCCCAAGUCAUCUACAGUGAUUUGGUCGAUGUUGUGUGGAGAAAGAGGUCGCAAUAGGUCCCAGUGCUUGCGGGAUUGUAGGUGUUAAAAAUGUGAUGUUUUAUUAAUAUAUAUGUGAUACACAGGUUAACCGGGAAAUUAGUUUAGAAAUUUAAUGAAAGUUCUUCUAUCAAAUUUUAUAAGUGUUAGGUGUCCAAGAAUUUUGAAGUUAAAGUUUUAAGUCGUUUAGUGUGCUCUCUAAACUAGGUAUGAUAUUCUAUGUGUGUUGGUCGAUUUCAUGAUUUGAAUGGAUGUUGAUUGCUACUUCGAAUAUUUAGGAUCAAGUAACAUCGAUAUAUCUGUUUCAACCAAAAUCUAGGGUCUGUCUGAUAAGUAAUGCGUAUAAACAAUUUAGGUCUUUUAGUUCUAAAGUUAUAAUUGGUAUAUUGUAUACAAUAUGCUUGGUUAUAAGUGUUUCAUCCUUUUUAGUGUAAAUUAUCUAUCUUGUACUAUUUAUACUCGUGCUCAUACAUGUGCAUCGUGCAUCCCAUGAGGUACGUUAAUUGAUCGCGUGAUGCGGAAGACGAGCCAAGUUGACCUCAAGAUGGUGCUAGGAGUGGACAUCUCCGCAAGACGACGUCGUCAGUCGGAUGAAUCUGAAGAUGGAUAAUUGAACGAGUACCAAGACAAAGGCUGCUCGUCAAGAGAACAUCGUCUAACAACACUAACCUAGUGUUACUCAGGUUACGAGUCAUUUUGAUUGUGAAUGGUGUUAAGCGCCGGUGGGCACGACCUUCUUAUAAGUCUAAGUACUUCUUCUAUACUUCUUAUUGAGGAUGGUCACUUGAGCUAGCAUAUAUUUUAAACAUAUAAAUGUUUAUACAUUCAAAACAUAGUGCAAUUACUCCGAUCAUGUACCAUGUAAACUUGAUGUAACUUGUAAAAUUUGGUAAUAAGAUUUCCACUGC
rnacentral:lncRNA from 1 species